UACGUAGGAGGCAAGCGUUGUCCGGAAUUACUGGGCGUAAAGCGCGUGUAGGUGGUGGGACAAGUCUGCUGUGAAAGCGCCUGGCUUAACCGGGCGAGGUCGGCGGAAACUGUUCGACUUGAGGACGUAGAGGGGGGUGGAAUUCCCGGUGUAGUGGUGAAAUGCGUAGAGAUCGGGGAGGAACACCUGUGGCGAAGGCGGCCUCUGGACCAAUACUGACGCUCAUGCACGAAAGCGUGGGGAGCAAACAGG
rnacentral:rRNA from 1 species